GCAUAUCAAUAAGCGGAGGAAAAGAAACUAACAAGGAUUCCCUUAGUAACGGCGAGUGAACCGGGAAGAGCUCAAAUUUGAAAUCUGGCUGUCUUCGAUAGUCCGAGUUGUAAUCUAUAGAAGCGUUUUCCGUGCUGAACUGUGUCUAAGUCCCUUGGAACAGGGUAUCAAAGAGGGUGACAAUCCCGUACUUGACACAAUCAUCAGUGCUCUGUGAUACGUUCUCUACGAGUCGAGUUGUUUGGGAAUGCAGCUCAAAAUGGGUGGUAAAUUCCAUCUAAAGCUAAAUAUUGGCGAGAGACCGAUAGCGAACAAGUACCGUGAGGGAAAGAUGAAAAGCACUUUGGAAAGAGAGUUAAACAGUACGUGAAAUUGUUGAAAGGGAAACGAUUGAAGUCAGUCGUGUUCAUUGGAUUCAGCCGGUCUUCGGUGUACUUCCUUUGAACGGGUCAACAUCAGUUUUGCUCGGUGGAUAAAGGUAGUAGGAAUGUGGCCCUUCCGGGGGUGUUAUAGCCUAUUAUCACAUACACUGGGGGAGACUGAGGACUGCAGCUCGCCUUUAUGGCCGGGGGUUCGCCCACGUUCGAGCUUAGGAUGUUGACAUAAUGGCUUUAAACGACCCGUCUUGAAACACGGACC
rnacentral:rRNA from 2 species